rnacentral:lncRNA from 1 species
AUUCUGGGUCCUUGUUCUCUUCUGCAUUUUAGAGUUCAUGUGCUUUCAUUGGGCCCAUCUAGAUAUCUAGCAUAGUCUCCUUAUUUUAAUGAUUAGUCAACUUAAUUAUAUCUGCAAAGUCCUUUUUGCAGUGUAAGGUGACAUAAUCACAGGUGUAGCACCAGAGAGUGAAGGUCAUGGGUGCACAGGUCCUAUGAGGCUUAGUUGGGUGAAAAGGUGGAGAAUGAUAGGAGCAGAGAGGUUGGAGAGGGAGAUAGGAAAGGGAGUUUCAGAAAUAUUACAUAGUUUGCCUAAAGUUACAUUUCCAGUACGUGGCAGAGCUGGGGUUGGAGUGCAGAUAGGACUGAUCUCUGUGAUUUCAUGGUCCACACCAAAUCAGUCUUCUUAGACUCAGAGCUAUUGUUUCUGUCUAAUACAUAGUGAGCUUUUAUUGUAUGCCAAGUAAUCCACAGAGCACUCCUUUAUGUUUUUCUAGCUCUUAAAGAGCAUCUGUACAAGUCUUUUGGCAUAGAUAAUAGGCUCUACUGGAACCAGCUUAAGAAAAAACGACAAAAGUAGUUAGGGGACCAGGGUGUAUGACUCAGAAUCUGAGGAUGGGCGUGCAUGUAAACCUUAGCCAGGGAUUGGAACUGGGAGAUUGAAAUCACUCAGGACGUAUAGGACCUUCUACUUUUCUCUGCUUCUUGGGAUAUGUCUAUUUUACUCUGUAGACUGUCCUGAUUCUCAGACCACUGGAUGGAAGAUGAUCAUGUCACACAGCUCCAUCAUUCAAGAGAACAGCCGUGACUUAGUCCCAUUUCCAAAACUCCAAGCAAAAGACUCUAACACAUUUGGAGGCAAUCAGCUGUGACCCUGAAUUGGGGGACUGUUCACCUCAUACAAAUAUAGCUGCUGCCAGCUUAUAUUUGUGGAUUGAGAGGACAGUUUCCUGAUACACAGGAGGUAUUUGCACGUGCUAGGCAGACUCCCCAAACUUAUGUUCAUUUUAGUAACAUUGAGUAGUACUAUCAUACUUAACAGUACAAAAUUUAAAAAACAUAAUUGAUCUAUGCG